GGGGACAUGGUGUAGUCAGGCCAUCAUCUGGGACUCCAGAUCCCAGGACCUGGGUUCAAAUCCCAGUGUCCCCA
rnacentral:tRNA from 1 species